GCGACUGUAGUCUAGUCUGGUAGGACAUGACGUUGCCAACGUCAAAACCCGGGUUCAAAGAACCCUUUUCUUUGG
rnacentral:tRNA from 3 species